CCACUGGUGACCCGGCAGCCACUCCCAGGGGCAGAGGUAGAGGGCGUGGCAGGGGAGAGGGGCCGAGGGUUCAAUAAUGGUUGGCAGCUAUGGACAAGGUAAAACAGAGCUAUGUGCUACCUACAGUGGCCCACAAAGUAUUUCACACCCAUUUACUUUUCUCCACGUUUUGUUACAGCCUGAAUUUAAAAUUGAUUAAAUGUAUAUUUUGUCACUGGCCCACACACAUUACCCCAAUGUAAAAACAUUUUCAAUGCUACCCCAUCUCUUACCCCGAACAUGCAAUUAUUUGUUUAGGGUUCCUGAGUCAGCAGUGAAUUUCAAACACAGAUUCAACCACAAAGACCAGGGAGGGUUUCCAAUGCUUGCAAAGAGGGUGUAUUGGUAGAUGGAUUUUUUUUUUAAAGCGGACACUGAAUAUCUCUUUGUGCAUGGUGAAGUUGUUAAUUACACUUUGGAUGUGUAUCAAUACACCCCAGUCACUACAAAAGAUACAGGCGUCCUUCCAAAUCAAGUUGCCGAGAGAGGAGGGAAACCGCUCAGAGAUUUCGCCGAGGCCAAUGGUAACUUAAAAAACAGAUACAGAGUGAACUGUGACCAUGAAACUGUUUUCCUUGUCAUUAUGGGUGAUUGUGUGUAGACUGUCAGGGUCAGAAAAAACAAAUCCAUUUUUAUUCAGGCUCUAAUAUACAUAAAUGUGGAAUAAGUCAUGGGGUUAUGAGUUCUUUCUGAAGGCACUACAUGCAUUAUUGUGUAUUCUGUCCCUGAAUUUACUUGAUGCUGUAUAUACUGUUCUUCAACAUUAAUGGUAGGGCAACAUACUCACGUCAGCGGAGAAAUGUAAUGGUUGGUUUGCUUAACUCCUCAGGGUGGCUAUGGAAGAUUAGGGCUGAGUGGAACAAUGGAAACUCUGGAGGCUAUAAUUAUUACAAUAGUGGAGCAAAUGGUGGAGCUGCGGCUGCUGGCACCGUUACUGAAGUCCCUGCGGCCAGCACUACAGGCGUGGCAGCUACAGGAACCUACGGUUCAUACUACCAGAAUGAUGGAGGCUACUCCAGCCCUUCUCCAGCUCCCAAAGCCCCUGUCAAAAAGGAGCCAAGUCAACCUUCCCUGGACCGCCAGGAGUUGGUGGGGGGGCCCAAGGGGCCUACCAGACCACCCCUGGCCAGAGUGCCUAUAACCAGUAUGGCCAGGGCUAUGGGCAAGGCAAUAAGACCUUCAAUCAAAACCAGACAGGAGCAGGAGUUUAUCCUUACAGCACUGCCUACCCCAGCCAGGUGACGGGCAGCGCUGUUGCCAGCCAAGACUACAGUUACGAAGGUUACGGAAAUCAGUCAAAUUACAACGCACAGGCAGGCGCCAACCAGAGCUAUGGUGCAAAUCCAGCUCCAUACCACAACCAGUAGGAUACGGCAGGGGAGACCCCACCAUGAACUACCAGUACAGAUAGACUGAAUCCGCCCUCGGCAUAGCCCCACAGUACCACCCCACAACCCUGUCACAAACGUUCUCCAAAGAAGCGAUGGUGGCUGUCCUGUGACCAUGGUUUAUCCAUGUCUGUGCAUUUGUUUUUUUUUUGUUUUUUUACUUUAAAGUAAUAAACUGGACUUAUUAGUUGGCAGCUCCCCACGGCUGAAUCAAAUGGUCUAUUUCAUCAGUUUGGUCAGUGUUCAAGUUUGUAUUUUAUUUGUAGUGCACUCCACCAAUUUCCCCACUACCACCCAAAAAAGAGGGAAUGACAUCACUUUUUUUUUUACCCCCAGCUAUGAUUUAUUUCUGUCCAUACACAGUUAACUAUGUUGACCAGUUGUUUUUGGCUGAGGAUUUGUUUAAAUUUUCAUUUUACCAUACAAUGGGUCUGGAGAACUGCUUGCUUGUUGAAGUAUUUGCUUGUAAUUUUAGACAUUUAUUUUCAAUGUUUUAGUUGAUGUAUUUCUGUAGUUUUAAAUUUAACAAAUAAGUUUGGAAAUUAUUAGGAAGACAUUUUAAAUGUCAAUCACAUUUCUGGUCAAAGUAGAUUUGGGUGGUUGGGAUUAUUUUAUUUUUUCUCAGAACUGUGUAUAAGAAAGUGUGGUGUUUGUAUCAAUAAAGGACUUUUAUUUUGGAGGAAAGCAAAUUGGUGUGUCGACCAAGCAUUCACUUCAUGAAAGAUGCUCUCUACUAACCUUACGUUCCCUCCCAGAUAUCAGAAAAUACAUUUUGAAGUCAACAUUGUGCAAUGAAAUGUUACAUUUGUAUUGAACCACAUCUAUUGUAGGAUAAAUCAAUGUUAGUUUACAUAGCUGGCCAUAUAUGGAUGUUAAAUUGUACUUUAUGGUUUGGCUAUGUAGGCUUCUUCUAACCUAACCCCAUCGCUUCUACGACAUAUAAUAGGAUUAUCUCCGUACAUUAAAAACCAAAGUCAGAAUUCCAGUUGUUCCAAUAAAUGUUAUACCCCUUGAUCUUCAAGAAUAGGAACUUUGAAAUAUGGAAGUAUAGAUUAGCCAAAUUGUUUUACCUGAGUGUAACCCAAAACUAUGGAUUUAUUAGCCAGCCCUACUCUGUUUAUGAUUUUGUUUGAGCUCAUUGAUUUGAGUUGCAAAAUAAAUGCUGUGCUCAUGGAAAUGGCAUGCUUUGAGCACUACUGAAAAAUACUAUUUACUUGUGAAA
rnacentral:lncRNA from 1 species